GGCCAGGUAGCUCAGUUGGUCAGAGCACACGGUUCAUACCCGUGGCGUCGCGAGUUCGACUCUCGCCCUGGCCA
rnacentral:tRNA from 1 species